UAGAGAUAUUUUAGGUGGAGAUGACACAAUUAAGAGAAAUAAGUAUAUGAAUGAAUAUCAACACAAUGAAAAAGCUUGUUAUAAAGGGUAUGAAAAAAAGAUGUUGUUACCUGAAGCUCAGCA